AGGAAUAUUGGUCAAUGGGCGAGAGCCUGAACCAGCCAAGUAGCGUGAAGGAUGACUGCCCUAUGGGUUGUAAACUUCUUUUAUAAAGGAAUAAAGUCGGGUAUGGAUACCCGUUUGCAUGUACUUUAUGAAUAAGGAUCGGCUAACUCCGUGCCAGCAGCCGCGGUAAUACGGAGGAUCCGAGCGUUAUCCGGAUUUAUUGGGUUUAAAGGGAGCGUAGAUGGAUGUUUAAGUCAGUUGUGAAAGUUUGCGGCUCAACCGUAAAAUUGCAGUUGAUACUGGAUAUCUUGAGUGCAGUUGAGGCAGGCGGAAUUCGUGGUGUAGCGGUGAAAUGCUUAGAUAUCACGAAGAACUCCGAUUGCGAAGGCAGCCUGCUAAGCUGCAACUGACAUUGAGGCUCGAAAGUGUGGGUAUCAAACAGGAUUAGAUACCCUGGUAGUCCACACGGUAAACGAUGAAUACUCGCUGUUUGCGAUAUACAGCAAGCGGCCAAGCGAAAGCGUUAAGUAUUCCACCUGGGGAGUACGCCGGCAACGGUGAAACUCAAAGGAAUUGACGGGGGCCCGCACAAGCGGAGGAACAUGUGGUUUAAUUCGAUGAUACGCGAGGAACCUUACCCGGGCUUAAAUUGCAGAUGAAUUACGGUGAAAGCCGUAAGCCGCAAGGCAUCUAUGAAGGUGCUGCAUGGUUGUCGUCAGCUCGUGCCGUGAGGUGUCGGCUUAAGUGCCAUAACGAGCGCAACCCUUGUUGUCAGUUACUAACAGGUUUCGCUGAGGACUCUGACAAGACUGCCAUCGUAAGAUGUGAGGAAGGUGGGGAUGACGUCAAAUCAGCACGGCCCUUACGUCCGGGGCUACACACGUGUUACAAUGGGGGGUACAGAGGGCCGCUACCACGCGAGUGGAUGCCAAUCCCAAAAACCUCUCUCAGUUCGGACUGGAGUCUGCAACCCGACUCCACGAAGCUGGAUUCGCUAGUAAUCGCGCAUCAGCCACGGCGCGGUGAAUACGUUCCCG
rnacentral:rRNA from 1 species